GCGUCGGUGGUGCAACGGUUCAGCACGAGCUUCCGGAAAGAGUGAGAUCUAGGUUCGAAUCCCGGCUGACGCG